UAACCACAACUGUCCUUCAACUCACAAUCUCAAGAAUACUCGGGAACGACCGAUUUCACAAUCACUGUCGGCGGCAACACAACAACAACCGGAAAUAACAGUACAAUUUCAUGCGGUCUUUGCAUUCGGAUCUAGCUUACUUGUAGUGGUUAAAUAAAACCCUAGAAGCAUGGUUCUCUCUCGGUCUGUCAUUCCUAACCAAAAAAAGGACGUUUCUCUUCAUCUGCUAUUCGUCAUUUGGGCAUCACCGCUCACACUAAUGGGUUUCAUAUUAGCUCACUUUCAGUGUUAUAUUCUAAUUGCUUGGUCCAUGAAGAAUGGUCAUGGUGUGUUUGCAUAUUGUCAGCGUACAUGAAUAAUGUUCAGUGGACAAAAAGGCGCCAUCCAUCAGUUCUACUAUAGAAGUUUGGAUAGACUCGACACUAUUCCCCCCUCAAAAAAAAAAAACUCAGAAGAUUGUAUCGCAUUGAGAUGCCGAUUCAUUUUCCACCCACAAUGAGAAGAGAAGUGGGAACCUCCUAUUCAGUAGCCGGAAGAUCAAAAUGGAUCCUGGAGAAGCAGGAUCCCAGCUCAUGAGAAAUAUGGUUCCAUGCUGGUUCAAGGACGGACUUGUAGUCCUUCUAAUCUAACACUAUCUCAUUCAUUCAGAUUAUAAAUGAAGUUGCACAAAUGUGACUUGAUCAAUUUUAUAAAUUUGGGACUCAAUGCUUUCUCCUCCCUUUAUCCUCUUUACUUUGAUGACAUCUUUUAAAAUAUCAACUAUCAUUCACCCCGUAUAACAAAGAAGAAAAGGAUUUUCUUGAAAUACGUAUUAAGAACUCCACAUGCAAAAAUCCCCAAAGAUACCAAACAUCCACUGCUACAUGCUGCAGAAGAGCAAGUUUAAAUUCAUGAUAGAACCAGUAAACCUCAAACAUUUUGAUUCAGAAACGUCACUUAUUAAGCUCUUUCCAUUUGCCAGUGACCAUUUUGCUUUGACUUUUCAAGGUAUUGUUCUGAGUUCUUGUGUAUUGAGUGCACAUCUUAUGCUAAUAACUGUGUAGUAUUAUGCAGGAACCAUAUUAGGCCAGAUACUUCAUUUUAUGCAUUUAUCGAGUUUGUGAACAAAGAAGAUGUGAGUUUUUAAAAUGGUUGAAUCCUGAUGAGCCUUUCAGUUACUGAUGGCAGUCCUAUUUAUACACACACACCCCGGUUUAGAUGAUAUUUUAAAUCCUGUGGAUUAACUGUUAUGGAUGGUGUCCCAUUGGCAGGAAAAAUUAUUUUUGCUGCUCCUUUAUGCCCACUUGUUCUGCAGCAGGUGGAAGCAUUACAUGAGUUUGUAGAUAUUCCACAAGAGUGCACAAUUGAUCUAAUAGGUCAAACUAAUUCUCUGAGAAGAGCUAGUUUAUGGAAAGAGAGAUGAGUUUUUUUGUUACCCCACAAGUGCCGGAGAAGGAUAUACAUUCUGGUAGUAAAACUUAACUUCUGAUGAACUAUUUGAAUUUCUGGAUUUCAAUGCCUAAGCUAGAGGAGAGUCACUUAUAUUUGUAUAUUUGGAUCAUUUUAACGUCAACAACCGUAAUCUCUAAUAUGAGAGGUAUUAGAAACAUGUCUAAAACUGAAUCUAUAUAUUUUAUGUAUAUUUUUACAUAUUCUUAGAGGUAUUUUCACGUAUUGACUCUAUACUUUCUGCAGAUAAGAAGCUUUAUAAUUAACAAAUGAAUUUUGUGAUCAUCCUUUCUUACUUUAAAUUAAAAACAGAUGUAAGUAUUUACUAGAAACUUGAGGACACUAGCAUUCCAUGUUUGAAUAAAAGUUGCAAUAGGUUAAUUGCUUGACGCGAAUAUAGUUAUUCUACUUAGAUACUAUCUUAAUAUGCUUGAAAUAUGAAAAAUAUAAGGUAUAGAGGUAUCAGAUGGUUAAGAUUGAAGAUGUCAGGUUGCAGUACUUGACGCUAACCGCUUUAAGUAUAACUCAUUUAGGUUAAUUGACGCCCAAAAUGUUGUUAUUUGCUUCAUGGGCUUUUAGCAGUUUAAUAACUGCUUGAAUUGCUUGGAUAUGGUUAUGGAUUUUCUUGUUCAUAAUGGUCAUCACCAGUUCCUUCCUAAUACUUUUAUGUUCCAUAAUUUUGGUGUCAUUGGUUUUUCAUCAUGGAGGUGAGUUAUUGUGUUAGGGGCUAUCAUAUGAGACAACUUCUUCUUUAGGGGAUUCGGGUAUCUGUAUUUUAGUUAAUGGUUAUGGUGUUUUUUCCUAGGGACUGGAUGCUUCUUGGCAAACUUGAUUGAUAUACCCUUUUUAUUCUAAAUGGAGCUUAUUAUAUGUUGUUGUGGAAUAUAUAAUAUAUCAUUCGCAGGGGGAAGUUUUCCAAUAGUCAGAGUUUAACAUAUAUUUUUUUUAAAAUGGUAAUAAAUAUGUCAUUGACAUAUUAUUGCUAAUAGCCAAAGGAUAAUACCCCAAAUAAAUCCAACCUAGCCUUGGUUGAUUGCUUUCUUAGUAUAAACGGAAGGCUGUUGGUGUAAAUUUUUUAUUUUAAGGAAUUAAUGGACAAAAUCCUAUGUUAGUCAUCCUAAAAGUUACCUUACUUACUGUCGUUCUUCUUUAUCCUUUUCCAGUUGUUAUCUCUCUUUCUUGGAUUUUGCAUACAAUGUUUGCAUCAUAGAUGUAAUCUUUAUUUUCUUCGAGGUCUGGAAGUUUUGUUUUGGUGCCUAGGGAUUGCAAAUGGGAGUACCAUUUCUUGGCUGGAAAAGCUCAACUCCUUUGCUUCUAUUUUCGUUCUUCGUUACGCCUUGAAUUGUCUGCCCCAUAUGCCUCAAACCAUUCAAUUUUUAACUAUUUGAUUAUAGUUUAUAUGGUAUUGUUGAAGGAUUUGUGUCUACACCGUUACAUCUUUUUGUUUGAUUUACUCGUGAGUUUGACUCCUUUUGGUGUUAAAGCAUUUGUUGAGUUACAUUGCAUGAUACAAGAGAUUGUGUGAUCAUUUGUGAGAUAAGCUUUUUAAUGUGAUAAAUUUUGUUCAUACCUGCUCUUCUUAAUUUUUUGUUUUUUAUUUUUCAUGUUUCCAGGGCACUGCAGUUAAUAUAAUAGUAGGGUCUUAUGUAUGGUUUGAGGACCCUGAUGUAGCUUCGGUUGAUGGAUUAGUAGAGAAAAUAUCAAACGGGAAAGCAGAUAUUGAGAGGACUGAUGGAAAGAAGGUUGUUAGGUAAUUGUCACCAAUUUAUCCAAAAGAUGUGGAAGCUCAAGCUGCGGGUGUGGAUGACAUGACCAAAUUAUCCUAUUUGCAUAAGCUUGGACUACUGCAGAACCUCAAAACAAGAUACGAAAUCAAUGAAGUUUACGUAAGAUACUGUAUUGAUUGCUUGUAUUAUGUUUGAUAUUAUGUUUGAUAUUAAGCUCUUUCUUGUGUACAGUUCAGACAACAGUGCCCAUACCAUUUGGAUCA